GACAGAGGGUGCAAACGUUGUUCGGAAUUACUGGGCGUAAAGCGCGUGUAGGCGGUUAUGCAAGUCGGGGGUGAAAGCCCCGGGCUCAACCCGGGAAGUGCAUUCGAUACUGCGUAGCUAGAGUACUGGAGAGGAUGGUGGAACUCUCGGUGUAGAGGUGAAAUUCGUAGAUAUUCGCAAGAACACCAGUGGCGAAGGCGGCUCACUGGCCCGGUACUGACGCUGAGGUGCGAAAGCGUGGGGAGCAAACAGG
rnacentral:rRNA from 1 species